AUUGAACGCUGGCGGCAGGCCUAACACAUGCAAGUCGAGCGAGCGGCGGACGGGUGAGUAAUGUCUGGGAAACUGCCUGAUGGAGGGGGAUAACUACUGGAAACGGUAGCUAAUACCGCAUACCAUCAGAUGUGCCCAGAUGGGAUUAGCUGGUAGGUGGGGUAACGGCUCACCUAGGCGACGAUCCCUAGCUGGUCUGAGAGGAUGACCAGCAAACCUGGAACUGGGAAACGGCCCAGACUCCAACGGGAGGAAGCAGGGGGGAUUAUUGGACAAUGGGCGCAAGCCUGAUGCAGCCAUGCCGGGUGUGGGAAGAGGUCCUUCGGGUUGUAAAGCACUUUCAGCGGGGAGGCGUUACCCGCAGAAGAAGCACCGGUUAACUCCGUGCCAGCAGCCGCGGUAUUC
rnacentral:rRNA from 1 species